GAAGAGAGAAGAGCCAUCCAGACAUUAAAUGAACUUUUGGCCGACCAGGAGAUUCCAUCUUAAGAACAGACCAUCUUGAAAAAUAUUUUGGAGCAAGCAGUCAGUACAUCCACAAUAUCACAGAAGUUGGCUGAUGCACUAUGGAUCCAACAUCCCAUUAUUUCAACAAUGUAUCUUCUACCAAAGAUUCACAAAAAUCAGACCAGACCACCGGGGAGACCCAUCAUCUCCUGCACAGGUAAUGGUACCAAUUCGGAUUAAGUGAAUCUUGGUUUGAUACCUGAUGGAGGGACACGGACAUCAAUUUAUACAUCCAUCUAGCCACUGUAUGAUUUUCUGCCGUAGAUGACUUCACCAUUACACUGCUAGGACUUGUGUGUUCCAAUUAUAUGUGAACCUUUUUGGUAUUUUUGUGGGGGACAUUUUUCCCCCUUCCCCUGGGGCUCUACUAUGAUAUACUGGUCAUGAUCUAAUUUGGUAUGUUUAACAUCGUAGCCGUGAACUGUUCUUGGUUUGAAUCUCGAGAUGGUCGUGGAGUCUCGGUCUGUCUGUAGCCCUUGGGGGUGGGUAUAUAGGAGGGGGUAUCAUACCCUCUACAACUUAUGUGGUGUUAUGGUUGUAUUUUUAUCUUGAUGACCUAUUAGCCCAGGACACUACGCAAUCCCAGUUAUGCUCUGCAGUAUCGGUCUAAUUUAUAGUGUAACUAGCUGAGUACCCGCCGUUGCCCGGUUUUCCUUCCUAAUCCUUUUUGGGGAGGCAAAUAAACAAAGGAGGAAGCUUUUGACUUCAAAUCCCGUCCUCAUAUAUUGUUGUCAUAUCCCAACCCCACAUCCCGACCUCCUAUCCCGUCCUCCUAUCUCG